rnacentral:rRNA from 1 species
UGGUGGGAUACUACCCUGGCUGUAUGACCAUUCUAACCCGCCACGCUUAGCGCGUGGGGAGACAGUGUCAGGUGGGCAGUUUGACUGGGGCGGUCGCCUCCUAAAGAGGAACGGAGGCGCCCAAAGGUUCCCUCAGAAUGGAUGGAAAUCAUUCGCAGAGGGUAAAGGCACAAGGGAGCUUGACUGCGAGACUGACAAGGCGAGCAGGGACGAAAGUCGGGCUUAGUGAUCCGGUG